AGGGCAAUUGCUGGACCAUAUGGUAAGAAUAUGUUUAGUUUUAUAAGAGACUGCCAGACUGUGUAAAGUAGCUGUAUAAUUUUGUAUUCCCAUCAGCAGU
rnacentral:pre_miRNA from 1 species